UUGUCCAGCCCAUACUAAACCCCCUUCUUAUUAAUAAAAGGUAGGGCCAUGGUUGGACAUAAAAUAACCCGGUCUGUUUAGGAGGGCUGCACACAGCAAAUGUGCAAAUCCCUUAAAGGCUCGACUGGACAAC